rnacentral:snRNA from 1 species
UUGCUCACUUCAGCAGCACAUAUACUAAAAUUGGAACGAUACAGAGAAGAUUAGCAUGGCCCCUGUGCAAGGAUGACAC